AUUGAACGCUAGCGGGAUGCCUUACACAUGCAAGUCGAACGGCAGCACGGACUUCGGUCUGGUGGCGAGUGGCGAACGGGUGAGUAAUGUAUCGGAACGUGCCUAGUAGCGGGGGAUAACUACGCGAAAGCGUAGCUAAUACCGCAUACGCCCUACGGGGGAAAGCAGGGGAUCGUAAGACCUUGCACUAUUAGAGCGGCCGAUAUCGGAUUAGCUAGUUGGUGGGGUAACGGCUCACCAAGGCGACGAUCCGUAGCUGGUUUGAGAGGACGACCAGCCACACUGGGACUGAGACACGGCCCAGACUCCUACGGGAGGCAGCAGUGGGGAAUUUUGGACAAUGGGGGAAACCCUGAUCCAGCCAUCCCGCGUGUGCGAUGAAGGCCUUCGGGUUGUAAAGCACUUUUGGCAGGAAAGAAACGUCAUGGGUUAAUACCCCGUGAAACUGACGGUACCUGCAGAAUAAGCACCGGCUAACUACGUGCCAGCCGCCGCUGUAAUAC
rnacentral:rRNA from 1 species